rnacentral:rRNA from 1 species
GACAGAGGGUGCAAACGUUGCUCGGAAUCAUUGGGCGUAAAGCGCGUGUAGGCGGCUUGUUACGUCGGGUGUGAAAGCCCAGGGCUCAACCCUGGCAGUGCACCCGAAACGGGGAAGCUGGAGUACUGGAGAGGCGAGUGGAAUUCCCGGUGUAGAGGUGAAAUUCGUAGAUAUCGGGAGGAACACCGGUGGCGAAGGCGACUCGCUGGCCAGUAACUGACGCUGAGACGCGAAAGCGUGGGGAGCAAACAGG